ensembl:misc_RNA Metazoa_SRP Metazoan signal recognition particle RNA
GCUGGGUGUGGUGGUGUGUGCCUGUGGUCCCAGUCACUAGGGAGGCUGAGGUGGGAGGAUUGCUUGAGCCUAGGAGGUCAAGGCUGCAGUGAGCUAUUGUGGUGUCACUGCACUCCAGCCUGGGCAAUAGAGCAAGACCCCAUCUCAA